CUUGUACUCCCUCCGUCCGAAAAUACUUGUCAUUGAAAUGGAUGUAUCUAGAUGUAUUUUAGUUCUAGACACAUCCAUUUUGAUGACAAGUAAUUCUGGACGGAGGGAGUACUUU
rnacentral:pre_miRNA from 1 species